UACAUAAGGAGCAAGCGUUGUCCGGAAUUAUUGGGCGUAAAGAGCUCGUAGGUGGUUUGUCGCGUCGUCUGUGAAAUUCCGGGGCUUAACCUCGGGCGUGCAGGCGAUACGGGCAAUACUUGAGUGCUGUAGGGGAGACUGGAAUUCCUGGUGUAUCGGUGAAAUGCGCAGAUAUCAGGAGGAACACCAAUGGCGAAGGCAGGUCUCUGGGCAGUUACUGACGCUGAGGAGCGAAAGCAUGGGUAGCGAACAUGAUUA
rnacentral:rRNA from 1 species